rnacentral:lncRNA from 13 species
CAAAGUAAAUGAACAUAUGAGUGAGAGGACUGGGAGAGGCGGGCCCACCCUCAAUCUGGGUGGGCACCAUCGGAUCAGCUGCUGCGCAGCUAGAAUAAAGCAGGCAGGAGAAGACGGAAGAGCAGACUUGCUGAGUCUUUGGCCUUCUUCUUUCUCCCGUGCUGGAAGCUUCCUGCCCUCGAACAUCACACUCCAAGUUCUUCAGCUUUUGGACUCUUGGACUUACACCAGUGAUUUUCCAGAAACUUUCAGGCCUGUGGCCACAGACUGCAGGCUGCACCGUCGGCUUCUUCCCUACUUUGGGGUUUGGAGACUUGGAUGGCUUCCUUGCUCCUCAGCUUGCAGACAGCAUAUAGUGGGACUUCACCUUGUGAUCACAGAACAAAGAAGGACAGAAUUAAAAAUGGGGACCGAUGGGGAAGUAAAGAAGAUGAAACUGAGGAAGAUAAAAAACAAACUGAAGGCAGAGGACGGCGCAUCUCCGGAAAAAAAGUCACAGGGUGAUCCUGUUUUCUUUCACUUAUCUCUAACAUGUGUUUUAUGGACCCGAAGACGUGUCAUCUGAGCAACCCAGCAGUUAAAAACAGGGCACAGAGAUCCUGCUGUGUGUGCAAGUCUUGGAAAUCUGUUUUCCUGAACAAACAAGCUAGUGGAAAGAACAAAGUCUGAGAGUGAAUCAUAAACUCUUGUUUUGUUAGAGCAGAAACUGUUUUCGAAAACAUCUACAUUGGAUAUUCGGGCACAGAUGUUCAAUGUAGGACCAGAAAUUAACUAUAAAUUUCCAAGAAGGAGUUAGGCCAGCUGACUAGUCUGUUCUGUCUUUUUUCCCACAAUAAUUCAAAGGCAAAGAAACAAAAAGUAUUCAACACACUGAAAACAUUAUACACUGUUUAAGACUUCAAGUAAACAGCUUUUGUUAACUUUUGCAUAAAUACAUUUAAUAAAUGGAAAAAAUCAAUUUCA